GGCGAACGUUAGCGGCGGGCCUAACACAUGCAAGUCGAGCGAGAAAAGGGCUUCGGCCCUGAGUACAGCGGCGGACGGGUGAGCAAUACGUAGGUAACCUGCCUUUCAGUGGGGGACAACGGUCCGAAAGGACCGCUAAUACCGCAUGCGUCGCCCGGGACUCCGGUCCUGGACGGGAAAGCUAGGGCAACCUGGCGCGGAAAGAGGGGCCUACGUCGCAUCAGCUAGUUGGUGGGGUAACGGCCUACCAAGGCUAAGACGCGUAGCUGGUCUGAGAGGAUGAUCAGCCACACUGGGACUGAGACACGGCCCAGACUCCUACGGGAGGCAGCAGUGGGGAAUACUGGACAAUGGGCGCAAGCCUGAUCCAGCCACGCCGCGUGAGUGAUGAAGGCCUUCGGGUCGUAAAGCUCUGUGGGGAGGGACGAACCGCCGGUGGUGAACAUCCAUCGGCAUGACGGUACCUCCUUAGCAAGCACCGGCUAACUUCGUGCCAGCCGCCGCGGUAACAC
rnacentral:rRNA from 1 species